UACGUAGGCAGCGAGCGUUUGUUCGGAGUUACUGGGCGUAAAGGGUGUGUAGGCGGUUUUCUAAGUUUGGUGUGAAAUCUCCCGGCUUAACCGGGAGGGUGCGCCGAAAACUGGGAGACUAGAGUGCGGGAUGGGAGAGUAGAAUUCCUGGUGUAGCGGUGAAAUGCGUAGAUAUCAGGAGGAAUACCGGUGGUGCAGACGGCUCUCUGGACCGCAACUGACGCUGAGACACGAAAGCGUGGGUAGCAAACAGG
rnacentral:rRNA from 1 species